rnacentral:rRNA from 1 species
UACAGAGGUCUCAAGCGUUGUUCGGAUUCAUUGGGCGUAAAGGGUGCGUAGGCGGCGCGGUAAGUCGGGUGUGAAAUCUCGGAGCUUAACUCCGAAACUGCAUUCGAUACUGCCGUGCUUGAGGACUGGAGAGGAGACUGGAAUUUACGGUGUAGCGGUGAAAUGCGUAGAUAUCGUAAGGAAGGCCGGUGGCGAAAGCGAGCCUCUGGACAGUUACUGACGCUGAGGCGCGAAAGCCAGGGGAGCAAACGGG